UGAGCUUGAUCCUGGCUCAGGAUGAACGCUAGCGGCAGGCUUAACACAUGCAAGUCGAGGGGUAUUGGUUUUCGGACCAAGAGACCGGCGCACGGGUGCGUAACGCGUAUGCAAUCUACCUUUUACAGAGGGAUAGCCCAGAGAAAUUUGGAUUAAUACCUCAUAGUAUGGCGACAUCGCAUGAUGAUGCCAUUAAAGUCACAACGGUAAAAGAUGAGCAUGCGUCCCAUUAGCUAGUUGGUAAGGUAACGGCUUACCAAGGCUACGAUGGGUAGGGGUCCUGAGAGGGAGAUCCCCCACACUGGUACUGAGACACGGACCAGACUCCUACGGGAGGCAGCAGUGAGGAAUAUUGGACAAUGGGCGCAAGCCUGAUCCAGCCAUGCCGCGUGCAGGAUGACGGUCCUAUGGAUUGUAAACUGCUUUUGUACAGGAAGAAACAACUCUACGUGUAGAGUCUGACGGUAC
rnacentral:rRNA from 1 species